rnacentral:rRNA from 1 species
AACGAACGCUGGCGGCAUGCCUAACACAUGCAAGUCGAACAGUGGCGCACGGGUGCGUAACGCGUGGGAAUCUGCCCUUAGGUUCGGACUAACAGCUGGAAACGGCUGCUAAUACCGGAUGACUGAGGAUGAGCCCGCGUUGGAUUAGGUAGUUGGGGGGGAAAAGGCCUACCAAGCCGACGAUCCAUAGCUGGGCUGAGAGGGUGAUAAGCCACACGGGGACUGAGACACGGCCCAGCCUCCUACGGAAGGCAGCAGUGGGGAAUAGUGCACAAUGGGCGCAAGCCUGAUGCAGCCAUGCCGCGUGUAUGAAGAAGGCCUUCGGGUUGUAAAGUUCUUUCAGCGGGGAGGCGUUACCCGCAGAAGAAGCACCGGCUAACUCCGUGCCAGCAGCCGCGGUAAUUG